ACCUGGGUGGCUCAGUCGGUUAAGCGUCUGACUUCAGGUCAGGUCAUGAUCUCACAGUUCGUGGGUUCAAGCCCCAUGUCGGGCU
rnacentral:tRNA from 1 species